rnacentral:rRNA from 1 species
GAUUCUGGCUCAGGAUGAACGCUGGCGGCGUGCCUAACACAUGCAAGUCGAACGAAGCAUAUCGGACGGAGAUUCGUCGAAGACCGGUAUGACUUAGUGGCGGACGGGUGAGUAAUGUAUGAGCAACCUGCCUUUCAGAGGGGGACAACAGUUGGAAACGGCUGCUAAUACCGCGUAACGUAUUUAGGAGGCAUCUCCUGAAUACCAAAGGAGCAAUCCGCUGAAAGAUGGGCUCAUAUCUGAUUAGCUUGUUGGCGGGGUAACGGCCCACCAAGGCGACGAUCAGUAGCCGGACUGAGAGGUUGAACGGCCACAUUGGGACUGAGAUACGGCCCAGACUCCUACGGGAGGCAGCAGUGGGGAAUAUUGGGCAAUGGGCGAAAGCCCUGACCCAGCAACGCCGCGUGAAGGAAGAAGGUCUUCGGAUUGUAAACUUCUUUAUGAGGGACGAAGGACGUGACGGUACCUCAUGAAUAAGCCACGGCUAACUACGUGCCAGCCGCGGC